ensembl:lncRNA
CGGUUGUCAUAGUUACUCAGUUAUGACAUCAGGGACAGGUUCCAGGGAAGAAGGAGGAGCAGUGGAGCAUGCCAGGCUGUCCCUGGACUUCUCUUUUGAAAGCUAAUGUAGGUUCAAGUCAAGAUGAGGGCUGACAUUAGAAAGUUUCCCACUUGCCUGGUAUGCAGUGCCACCAAUAGCAGCAGGAAGAGGUAUGGUGUCUGGGAAGGCCAGAAAGGCACUGGGGUGGGGGUGGGGGGAUGGAGAAAUCUAGCCCUGGUUACGCUUGGACUCUAAGCCAAGUAAUCUCCCCGGCAAUGGUUUCCCUGAAGGUAUGAGCCCACAGCUGUUUGCAGAGGUGAAAGAUGAACUUGAUGAUUUGAUUCCAUGUCUUCACUUUUGCAGAUGAGGCGAAAGUCCAGAGCAACAGCCAAGCUGCUCUAGAACAAGUUAGUGGAAGAACAAGUUCAGGAUGUGGGUUUCCUGAAUUCUCAGGACCACGAAUGUUUUUUGGAGACGUUGGGCUUCGGGUGAGCUGUCACUGGGGGAGGUCAGAGACCUGUCGCUUUUGCUGGUAGUGGGAUCUCGUAAAUGAUGAGUUGCUGACAUCGUGUGGCUCAUAGUGGGCUGGCAGCUGCUCCAGGAAGGGCUGCAAAGGAGCGGGAUGCAUCUCCACACCGGCACUGGGCGUAGCACCUACAGGUCUGAGCUGGGGUGCAGAUUCUGCUUUCCUGGCCAGCUCCCGGGUAAUACCAGAGCUGCUGGUCUGCAGCCGGCAGUCCGAGCUCCCAAACGGAACCCGUGUGUCCCUGAAUUCCUGAAAAAUCGAGGGACACUUGGUGUGCCGCGGUCCAGAGGAACUUUUAUUGCGCCCCGCAUUUCGUCCAGUGGCGGUACCGGACUGCCGCGCCUUAGCGGGGGGUGGAGGUGGGACGAAGACCAUCGCCCCUCCCCGAACCCCGGCCGGAGCUCCACAGCCGCAGCAUCUCCGCCCGCGGACGCAGGCCUCGGAGUCUUCCCC